AACGAACGCUGGCGGCAUGCCUAACACAUGCAAGUCGAACGAGACCUUCGGGUCUAGUGGCGCACGGGUGCGUAACGCGUGGGAAGCUGCCCUUAGGUUCGGUAUAACUCCCCGAAAGGGGUGCUAAUACCGGGUAAUGUCUUCGGACCAAAGAUUUAUCGCCUUUGGAUGGGCCCGCGUUGGGUUAGCUAGUUGGUAGGGUAAAAGCCUACCAAGGCGACGAUCCAUAGCUGGGCUGAGCGGAUGAUCAGCCACACUGGGACUGAGACACGGCCCAGACUCCUACGGGAGGCAGCAGUGGGGAAUAUUGGACAAUGGGCGAAAGACUGAUCCAGCAAUGCCGCGUGAGUGAUGAAGGCCUUAGGGUUGUAAAGCUCUUUUAACCGGGAUGAUAAUGACAGUACCGGGAGAAUAAGCGCCGGCUAACCCCGUG
rnacentral:rRNA from 1 species